rnacentral:rRNA from 1 species
ACGAACGCUGGCGGCGUGCUUAACACAUGCAAGUCGAACGGAAAGGCCCCUUCGGGGGUACUCGAGUGGCGAACGGGUGAGUAACACGUGAGUAACCUGCCCUUGACUUCGGGAUAACUUCAGGAAACUGGGGCUAAUACCGGAUAGGAAUCCUUGCUGCAUGGUGGGGGUUGGAAAGCUUCGGCGGUUUUGGAUGGACUCGCGGCUUAUCAGCUUGGUGGUGGGGUAGUGGCUUACCAAGGCUUUGACGGGUAGCCGGCCUGAGAGGGCGACCGGCCACAUUGGGACUGAGAUACGGCCCAGACUCCUACGGGAGGCAGCAGUGGGGAAUAUUGCACAAUGGGCGGAAGCCUGAUGCAGCAACGCCGCGUGCGGGAUGACGGCCUUCGGGUUGUAAAACGCUUUCAGCAGGGGCGAAGCUUGUGGUGACGGUACCUGCAGAAGAAGCACCGGCUAACUACGUG